AUAGGCUUCGGCUUAGCGUCUUAGCAGGCGAUUCCUCCACGGCGCUCGAAGCGCGUCGUGGUAUUUCGCGUAUUGUAAUUUCAACACGAGCGGGGUCAAAAUCCUUUGCAGACGACUUAGCUGUGCGAAACGGUCCUGUAAGCRAGUAGAGUAGCCUUGUUGUUACGAUCUGCUGAGGGUAAGCCGUCCUUCGCCUCGAUUU
rnacentral:rRNA from 1 species